rnacentral:rRNA from 1 species
UUAAGCAAGCAGUAGUUGCUGACUUGCAAUCAUCCUUCCCAAGGGAUUCACACUACUGAAGCCUUUGCAGCCUCGAAAGAGGUCUUCCUUGCGACUCUAAAUCAAGGAUUCAUGCAAGUCAGAAGCAAUCGCUUCUGGCAACACAAUCGAAUUGACGGGGACACCCUAAAGCCUGACAUCACUACCCAUCGUGGGAAACUACGACGGUAUCUCAUGCGAAAGACAUGGGGGAUAGUAACAGAAUGCAGGAUAUCUCUGACUCUGUGGGGAUCAGUAAUCAUGGGCAAUCCGCAGCGAAGGUUCUAAGUGCUUUUGGGCAUAUGAACAACGUUCACAGACUAAGUGGUUGUGGGUGGGUGAAAGUGUCAUCACUUUUCCCGCUUAAGAUAUAGUCGGGCUUCAAAGGAGACUUUGAAGAUUGAAUUACCGUUCCGUAGGUGAACCUGCGGAAGGAUCAUUA